rnacentral:tRNA from 1 species
GCGGGGAUGAAGCAAAGGCGGCUUGCCAGGUUCAUACCCUGGAAAUCAGUAGGUUCGACUCCUACCCCCGCC